GCCCUAGUAAUAAUCUAAGGUGUAACCUGCCCAGUGGUUUUUAAUUAAAAGAAAUAAAAAUUCUUAAAAAGAACUAAAAGGACGCGGUAACCUUGACCGUGAUAAUGUAGCAUAAUCACUCGCCAUUUAAUUGAUGGAUAGUAUGAAUGGUUGAACGAAUAUUCCACUGUCUUAGAAAAAAUCAUAAAAAAUUGAAAUAAUAGUUAAGAUGCUAUUUACAACUGUAAGACGAAAAGACCCUAUAGAGCUUAACUAUAAUCUUUUUAUAAUAAAAGAAAAAAAUUUCUAUAAUUAAAAAGAUCGGUAGUUUAGUUGGGGCGACUGUUUUCUAUAUUAAACGAAAACAAGCAAAGUUAAUAAAAAACUUAUUGUAUAACUAAAAUGUUUAACAAUUAUUAAAGUAGGCUAUAAUGACCCGUUAUUACUAAAUAAAAAGAAUAACGAUCAAUUAAUAAAAGCUACCUUAGGGAUAACAGGAUAAUUUCAUUUUAGAGUUCAUAUCGAAAAUGAAGUUUGUCACCUCUAUGUUGAAUUAAGAUAUCCUGAUAAUGCAGCAGUUAUCAAAGGUAGGUCUGUUCGACCUUUAAAAUCUU
rnacentral:rRNA from 1 species